CUACGGGAUGCUGCAGUGAGGAAUAUUGCACAAUGGGGUGAACCCUGAUGCAGCAACGCCGCGUGGAGGAUGACGCAUUUCGGUGUGUAAACUCCUUUUAUAUGUCAAGAAAAUGACGGUAGCAUAUGAAUAAGCACCGGCUAACUCCGUGCCAGCAGCCGCGGUAAUACGGAGGGUGCAAGCGUUACUCGGAAUCACUGGGCGUAAAGGACGCGUAGGCGGGUUGGAAAGUCAGGUGUGAAAUCCUACAGCUUAACUGUAGAACUGCACUUGAAACUUCUAAUCUAGAGUAUGGGGGGGGAGAUGGAAUUAGUGGUGUAGGGGUAAAAUCCGUAGAUAUCACUAGGAAUACCUAAAGCGAAGGCGAUCUCCUGGAACAUUACUGACGCUAAGGCGUGAAAGCGUGGGGAGCAAACAGGAUUAGAUACCCGGGUAGUC
rnacentral:rRNA from 1 species